AUCUGAGAAUCAAUUUGUUAAUCUGCAGAAGAAAUAAAUUUGUUGUUAGUUUCAAUUUGCAAAAACAGGUCGCAGUCAUUAUUGCAUGCCACAUUUUGGUUGUCACUUAAUUUGAUGCAAGAAAAUGAGGGUCUAAACCUAAAUACAAAUUAGAAACCAUGUUGCUGAACAUGAUCAGAAAGAAUUGAAGAUGUUAAAGCUGAACAUCAACUACUGCAAGAUAAAUUAAGCACAAGGGUUUGAGACAAAGAAAUCAAUAUCAACAGCACCAGAAUCCGAUGCUGAAGAUGGAACUGAUGAUGAAUAGCAUUCCUAUGAACCGGCGUUUCCGAGCACUCCCAGAACCUCCACCACCAAUAGAUCUGCAGAAAGCCUGGGA